UAUCUGUCAUAGCAGAUUUUAGGGCA
rnacentral:piRNA from 1 species